rnacentral:rRNA from 10 species
GCUUACGGCCAUACCACCUUAGGCACGCCCGAUCUCAUCUGAUCUCGGAAGCUAAGCAGGGUCGGGCCUGGUUAGUACUUGGAUGGGUGACUGCAUGGGAAUACCAGGUGCUGUAAGCA